GAUCGUGGUAGUUUUAAACCAAACCGCUAGGCCGUGACCCUAAAAAUAGAAGACACACCCAAACCUUCUCCACGACC
rnacentral:tRNA from 1 species